AUGGAGAAGAUUGGCGAUGAACAAAUUGGUGAUUUGGUGGGCCGCCCGGCUAACGAGAAGAUUGCCGAUGCCCAAGCUGGCGGUUACUUCGUGGGUCUCCCGGGUAACGAGAAGAUUGGCGAUUACUUCGUGGGUCGCCCGGUUAACGAGGAACAAGCUGGCGAUUACUUCGUGGGUCGCCCGGCUAAUCACGAGCAACAAGCACCACCACCACCAGCGAGGCCAAGCAUUCUCGGAAAGAUCGUGGGUCUCUCGGGGGGUUCACGAGAACUUCCAGAAAGCAGCACAAAGUAUGAAUAUAGCGAUCUGGUGAAGGCUACCAAGAAGUUCACUAGUCGAAUUAGACUUGGGGAAUUUGGGGUCGUCAACAUGGCAGUACUUGAUAAUGGGAAGGUGCUAGCUGUGCAGACACUCCGGAGAGAGAAAAAAGGUGAGAAAACUUACAAGAACUUCGCGCAUGCCAUCUCUACACUCGACCACAAAAAUUUGUUGAAGUUAGACGGCUACUGCAUGGAUAAACUGGGAGCUUUUCUUUGCUAUGAACAUCAGCAGCCCUAUCAAACCCUUGAGGACUGCCUUCUAGCAGGGACGUACAAUACACAGCUCAACUGGCAACAGCGAGUCAGCAUACUGAAAGGCAUCUGUGAAGGCCUUCAAUACCUCGAAGGCUGCAAAACUGUAAUUAAAAUUCGGGUUACCUUGAAAGUUGACUGCAUACUUCUUCACGAAGACAAGACCACCAGCGUUCUAACACCAAAACUUGCGGAGUUUGGUAUUUCGAAAAAACUUGAUGAGGAUGCAACCCCGGGUGGAUACGGGCCCACGGACGAUUUUGUACGGAAGCGAAAAGACGACUUCUCACCGGAUAUUGACAUUAAGAGCUUUGGUAUUAUCCUCAUGGUCAUGGUAUCUGGUCUAUCGAAGACGUCAAAUAAACUAGAUCCUUUUGGCAAGGAACUGAUUGCCGUUGUGAAUAAUCACCAUAAAAAGAAUGAUCUCGUGUCAUUAAGGGAUCCAUUUUUAUCCAAGGCCGAUUGCCAGGAGGAAAUUGAGGAAUGCAUCGAGUUAGCCUUAAACUGCACAAGUGAGUAUGAAGCCUUCAGGCCUCGCUUAGCUCAGAUAGCCCCCAUCCUGGCCAAUCUUGGAAGGAAAAAGCAAGAAAAAGCUUUUGGAGGUUAUACCCAAAGAAGAUACCAUAACUUGCACCAAGAACUUGGGCAAGAUGAAACUUCUUCAAAAGGAUCAGGACAUGUAAAGGUAGACCAUGUACAGGAAUAUGGGUAUGAUGAACUUAGUAAUGCUACCGAGAAUUUCGCCGAUCAUUGUGAGAUCGGACGUGGGGCGUUCGGUAUUGUCUAUAAGGCAGUACUUAACGACAAGGUAAUUGCAGUGAAGAAGCUACAGAAAGAAAGGUUCUCAGGACAAUUCCUGAAUGAAGUAAGUAUUCUAAUAGCCCUGAGGCACAAAAACCUAGUGAAAUUAGAAGGGUACUGCUUCAAUAGACAUGGGACCAUGCUUUGCUACGAACAUCUCCCUGGCGGGACACUUCAAGAUCGCCUUCAAGGUCAAGGUGGCAACCUUGAUUGGAAACAGCGGUACCACAUAAUUCAAGGAAUUUGCAAAGGGCUGCAGUACCUCCAUGAUGAGUGCCCAGAUGGUGUCCGCAUCGUCCAUAUGGACUUAAAAACAGAUAACGUACUGGUUCAUGUCGACGCCAAUGGAGUACUGACCCCAAAAAUUGGAGACUUUGGUAUCUCAUGGCCUCUUGAUUUGAAUAAAGAGCAUCAGUAUGUCGACAUGCCUGUUGGAAACAUCAACUGCACCCCUCCAGAAUAUCACGUGGAUGGGAAGAUAUCAACCGGAGUGGACAUAUAUAGUUUCGGUCUCCUCAUGCUGGACAUGCUAAUAGGUCAGCCAAGAGCACAAACUGAUAAAAAGAGCCAUUAUGGUCGACACAUUGUUAACCAAGUACAAAAUCAUCUGAUUUUGAAUGAUUUGCACAAAUUGAUUGAUCAGUCCUUAGGUACUGCUUACCAACAAGAAAUACAUGAAUGUAUUGAGUUAGCUCUAAAUUGUGCUGAAAGUGACGAGAACAAAAGGCCUAACAUAGGCCAAAUAUCACUGAAGCUUGCUCAAAUAGGAGAAGGAAAGGUAAGAAAACCAUUGUUGAGGAGUAAUGCGAGCAUACAAGCAGCAGAUCAAAAUGAAGAGUCAUCCAAAGAUGAACUUGAGAACAAGGUGAUAAAGUAUAAUAAUACAUUAGCAGCAAGUAAGGAAUCAACAAGCCUGGAGGACCAGCAACAUGAUGUAAGUCUGACAUGGAGUGGUAAGAGAGGGCGACAAGACGGAGCACUGGAGGAGGCCUUCCACCCUAACCAGGGUUCUUCACACAAGCCAAAGAUGGAGGCCAUAAAUUCUGGAAGUACAGCAACCUGCAACUACCUCUACAUAGAUGCUGCUCCAGCUAAUGCGGGUGAUCACACGUCAGUUGAGUCCAUUCAAAGUGACCUCCUUGACUUCACGCUCGAUUUCGAUGCGAUAUAUGAAGAAGAACCUAGUUGUGAGGAACUUGACUCAACCACUGUAUCCACAAAGCAAGAGAAGGAAACAAAGAAAGCCUUGAAACAAAUAUACGAAGCUCUCCGUGACGUCCUCCCACAUCAGAUUGCAGAAUUCAGUGGUUUUAUCAAGGAGAUGGUGAACGGAGUUCUUGCUAAUGGUGGUGAGUACACACCUUCUGAUGAAUUGCAGGCCGGUUUAAUGGAGCUUGUUGCGCUUUCGAAGGAUGAAGACGCAAUGAAAAGAGCAAAGGAUCGAGCAGCCCGGAGGACAGAGAUAAAUAAGAUGAAAUCCCAGUGCGCCAAGUUCAAGGCCACCAUGCAAGAACAUGCAGUCGAAGCGAAGAAGCUGGCCAUGCAACAAACCCAACUGAAGAAACGGAAGGAGGCCCUCCAGUCAGAGCUGGAGAAAAUCGAGUCGAGGCUGAAGGAUCUUCCAGCCUCCAUCGCCCAGGAGAAGAGCAUAGGGAUGGCGGCACAGGCUGAAGGGAUAACACUAGCGGAGCAGGUGCUAAACGAAGAAGCCGAGAUUGGCGACACGUCUGCUGAUGAAGCGCUGCUAGCUCGGGUGCAGAGAGUCCAGAAAGGCGUGUGCGCCCAGCUGGAGGGUAUCCUCCAGAAAUCAUAA
rnacentral:rRNA from 1 species